AGAAUCAACGCUGGCGGCGUGCCUCAGACAUGCAAGUCGAACGCGAAAGUCCCCUUCGGGGGACAAGUAGAGUGGCGCACGGGUGAGUAACACGUAGGUAAUCUACCUUCGGAUGGGGAAUAACAACCGGAAACGGUUGCUAAUACCGCAUAAUGCAGCGGCACCUAAUGGUGACAGUUGUUAAAGCGGGGGAUCGAAAGACCUCGCGUCUGAAGAGGAGCCUGCGGCGGAUUAGCUAGUUGGUAGGGUAACGCCUACCAAGGCGACGAUCCGUAG
rnacentral:rRNA from 1 species